UACGUAGGGGGCAAGCGUUGUCCGGAUUUAUUGGGCGUAAAAGAGCGUGUAGGCGGCCUGAAAGGUCAGCUGUGAAAACUCGAGGCUCAACCUCGAGACGUCGGUUGAAACCAUCUGGCUAGAGUCCGGAAGAGGAGUGUGGAAUUCCCCGGUGUAGCGGUGAAAUGCGCAGAUAUCGGGAAGAACACCCGUGGCGAAGGCGGCUCUCUGGGACGGUACGUGACGCUGAGACGCGAAAGCGUGGGGAGCCGAACGAGG
rnacentral:rRNA from 1 species